GAUCUCAAGAGGAAUGGGAAUGGUAGGCCCACUGAUUUGUGCAGCCACCUACUGGAGAGAUUAAAACCUAAGAUCAUAAAGAACCAGUGUCGGCUGUCGAUUCUCGUAAUCGAAGUUAAAUGCACGUGUGUUUUUGUCCUGUCGGUAAAUUCUCUGUCUAGUAAUCGGUUUUUUGGUUAAUCCAUGAACCGAAUAACGAAAGUUAACAUCAGCUGGGCCAUAUUGGUAAUAACUGGGCUUGGAAGCUUCGCUCUAGCGAAAUCAGUCGUGGACAAGCAAAGAUACGAGCAUAUGAAAAGUCGAGAUCGUAUGAAAAAUUCCAACGUUGGUGAAUACGAACCAAGCACUCGAAAGUUUUAGAACUACAAAAAACAUUUCCUAACAACAAAAUGGCAGCCACAAUACCUCAGAUGGAUGCAGCAAAAAUGCAGUUGGUACAAGAUCUGGAAAUUGAAAUGAUGUCCGACAUGUA